rnacentral:rRNA from 1 species
GUUCCUACGGGCGCAGCAGUGGGGGAUAUUGCACAAUGGGGGGAACCCUGAUGCAGCGACGCCGCGUGAGCGAAGAAGUAUUUCGGUAUGUAAAGCUCUAUCAGCAGGGAAGAAAAUGACGGUACCUGAGUAAGAAGCCCCGGCUAAAUACGUGCCAGCAGCCGCGGUAAUACGUAUGGGGCAAGCGUUAUCCGGAUUUACUGGGUGUAAAGGGAGCGUAGGCGGCCUGGCAAGUCUGAUGUGAAAUACCGGGGCCCAACCCCGGGGCUGCAUUGGAAACUGUCAGGCUGGAGUGUCGGAGAGGG